rfam:Capsicum annuum cultivar Zunla-1 chromosome 1, whole genome shotgun sequence
GUUCAAACGAGGAAAGGCUUACAGUCGAUACCUAGGCACCCAGAGAUGAGAAAAGGCGUAGUAAUCGAUGAAAUGCUUUGGGGAGUUGAAAAUAAGCAUAGAUCCAGAGAUUCUGGAAUAGGGCAGCCUUUCUAACUGCCGUUGAAUCCAUGGGUAGGCAAAAGACAACCUGGCGAACUGAAAUAUCGUAAGAGCCAAAGGAAAAGAAAGCAAAAGCGAUUCCCAUAGUAGCGGCGAGCGAAAUGGGAGCAGCUUAAAGCGUGAAAAUAGGGUUGUGGGAGAGUAAUACAAGCAUCAUGCUGCUAGGCGAAGCAACCUGAAUGCUGCACCCUAGAUGGCGAAAGUCUAGUAGACGAAAGCAUCACAAGCUUACGCCCUGACUCGAGUAGCAUGGGGCACGUGAAAUCCCAUGUGAAUCAGCAAGGAACACCUUACAAGGCUAAAUACUCCUAGGUGACCAAUAGCGAAGUAGCACCAUGAGGGAAGGGUGAAAAGAACCCCCAUCGGGGAGAGAAAUAGAACAUGAAACCAUAAGCUCCCAAGAAGUGGGAGGAGCCAGGGCUCUGACAGCGUGCCUGUUGAAGAAUGAGCCGGUGACUCAUAGGCAGUGGCUUGGUUAAGGGAACCCACAGGAGCCGUAACGAAAGCGAGUCUUCAUAGGGCAAUUAUCACUGCUUAUGGACCUGAACCUGGGUGAUCUAUCCAUGACCAGGAUGAAGCUUGGGUGAAGCUAAGUAGAGUUCCAAACAGACUGAUGUUGAAAAAUUAGCGGAUGAGUUGUGGUUAGGGGUGAAAUGCCACUCGAACCUAGAGCUAGCUGGUUCUCCCCAAAAUGCGUUGAGGUAUAACACUUAACUGGACAUCUAGGGGUAAAGCACUAUUUCAGUGCGGGCCGCGAGAGCGGUACCAAAUUGAGGCAAACUCUGAAUACUAGGUAUGGCCUUAAAAUUAAAAAAGAGGGGUCAAAGUCGGCUAGUGAGACGAUAGGGGAUAAGCUUCAUCGUCGAGAGAGAAACAGCCCGGAUCACCAGCUAAGGCCCCUAAAUGGUCGCUCAAUGAUAAAGGAGGUAGGGGUGCGGAGACAACCAGGAGGUUUGCCUAGAAGCAGCCACCCUUGAAAGAGUGCGUAAUAGCUCACUAAUCGAGCGCUCUUACACCGAAGAAGAACGGGGCUAAGCAAUCUGCCAAAGCUGUGGGGUGUAAAAAUACAUCGGUAGGGGAACGUUCUGCCUUAGAGGGAAGCCUCCGCAUGAGCGGUGGUGGACGAAGCGGAAACGAGAAUGUCGACUUGAGUAACACAAACAUUAGUGAGAAUCCAAUGCCCCUAAAAACCUAAGGGUUCCUCCGCAAGGUUCGUCCACGGAGGGUGAGUCAAGGCCUAAGAUCAGGCCGAAAGGCAUAGUCGAUGGACAACAGGUGAAUAUUUCUGUACUACCCGUUGUUGGUCCCGAGGGAUGAAGGAGGCUAGGUUAGCCAAAAGAUGGUUAUCAGUUCAAGAACGUAAGGUGUCCCUGCCAUUUUUUCAGGGUAAGAAGGGGUAGAAAAAAUGCCUUGAGCCAAUGUUCGAAUACCAGGCGCUACAGCGCUGAAGUAACCCAUACCAUACUCCUAAGAAAAGCUCAAACGAAGUUAAGCAAGAGGGUACCUGUACCCAAAACUGACACAAGUGGCUAGGUAGAGAAUACCUAGGAGCGCGAGAUAACUCUCUCUGAGGAACUCAACAAAAUAGCCCCAUAACUUUGGGAGAAGGGGUGCCUCUUCACAUCACAAAGGGGGUCGCAGUGACCAGGCCCGAGCUACUGUUUACCAAAAACACAGGUCUCCGCAAAGUCGUAAGACCAUGUAUAGGGGCUGACGCCUGCCCAGUGCCGGAAGGUCAAGGAAGUUGGUGACCUGAUAAUAGGGGAGCCGACGACUGAAGCCCCGGUGAAUGGCGACUAUAACUAUAACGGUCCUAAGGUAGAGAAAUUCCUUGUUAGGUAAGUUCUGAUCCGCACGAAAGGCGUAACGAUCUGGGCACUGUCUCGGAGAGAGGCUCGGUGAAAUAGACAUGUCUGUGAAGAUGCGGACUACCUGCACCUAGACAGAAAGACCCUAUGAAGCUUCACUGUUCCCUGGGAUUGGCUUUGGGCCUUUCCUGUGUAGCUUAGGUGGAAGGCGAAGAAGGCCUCCUUCCGGAGGGGCCCGAGCCAUCAGUGAGAUACUACUCUGGAAGGGCUAAAAUUCUAACCUUGUGUUAGGACCUACGGGCCAAGGGACAGUCUUAGGUAGACAGUUUCUAUGGGGCGUAGGACUCCCAAAAGGUAAUGGAGGCAUACAAAGGUUUCCUCGGGCCUGAUGGAGAUUGGCCCUCGAGUACAAAGGUAGAAGGGAGCUUGACUGCAAGACCCACCCGACGAGCAGGGAUGAAAGUCGGCCUUAGUGAUCCGACGGUGCCUAGUGGAAAUGCCGUUGCUCAAUAGAUAAAAGUUACUCUAGGGAUAACAGGCUGAUCUUCCCCAAGUGCUCACAUCAACGGGAAGGUUUGGCACCUCGAUGUCGGCUCUUCGCCACCUGGGGCUGUAGUAUGUUCCAAGGGUUGGGCUGUUCGCCCAUUAAAGAGGUACGCGUGCUGGGUUCAGAACGUUGUGAGACAGUUCGGUCCAUAUCCAGUGUGGGCGUUAGAGCAUUGAGAGGACCUUUCCCUAGUAGGAGAGGAUCGAGAAGGACGCACCUCUGGUGCACCAGUUAUCGUGCCCACGGUAAAUGCUGGGUAGCCAAGUGCGGAGCGGAUAACUAUUGAAAGCAUCUAAGUAGUAAGCCCACCCCAAGAUGAGUGCUCUCCUGUUCCGACUUCCCCAGAGCUUCUGGUUGCACAACUGAGACAGCGACGGGUUCUCUGCCCCUACGGGGAUGGAGCGACAAAAGUUUUUUUGAGAAUUCAAGAGAAGGUCACAGCGAGACGAGCCAUUUAUCAUUAUGAUAGGUGUCAAGUAGAAGUGCAGUGAUGUAUGCAGCUGAGGCAUCCUAAUAGACCAGUAGACUUGAACCU